rnacentral:lncRNA from 1 species
UUUUUAACCAACUAGGCCCGCCAACCCACAAGCAGAUAGAAAAUAAGCUGAUUCUAUAGGACAGAAAAAGGAAGAGGGCAGGGGUCAUAAGGGGAUGUAAGCAUAAGAUACCCAAGCCAGAAACAGCAACCCUUCCAGGUCCCCUUCCCCCACGUGGAAGCUUUCCUUUCACUUUCGCUUUAAUAAAUCUUGCCGCAGCACACUCUCUAAUCGAGCUGUAACACUCGCCACUGCCGUCCACGGCUUCAUUCCUUGAAGCCGUGAGACCACGAACCCUUCGAUUGAGAAGAACCUUCGGUCGGAAGAAGACUUCUCGUCUCAGUAACAAUAACAAGAAAAACAGCCUAGACUAGACGCACAUCAGGAAGACAGUUAAUCCCGUCAUGUAUUGACCCGGAAACAUCAUCUCAUUUGCCUAUAAGACAGAGAGAGAGAAUGAUAGAAAUGCUGGAAGAACGAGCCUUGGGGCGGUAUCGCCCAGAUCUGAAUCCACACAGCAGCUGCUUCGGUCCCUGUAACUCAAGGCUUCCUCUUAAUCCUCUGUCCUCCAUCAACACCUGGCUGAGCAGGAACAACUAUGACCUAGGACCAGGGCCUUCAGGAAUCUUCACCCCUAACUUGAACUUCAUAACACUGGAGAGAGAGACUGUGGAAUGGAAUGACUCUCCAGAGCUGCAGAUUGAAGAUCUCAAUGGCGGGAACACCUUCAUGGCCCCUUUAUAGCUGGAUGAUCAUUUCCUGUUCUCUCCACCAUGGCCACCUGGUCCAAGCCACCAUCUUCAUGCACCUGGAUACCUGCCAUAACCUCAGCUGACCUUUCCUGUGUCCAUUCUUGUUCCUUUGGGCCCAGUCUCCUCGCUCAUAGCAGCAGAAUGAGUCUAUUAAAAAGUGAAACAAUUUCUGUCACUUCCUG